rnacentral:rRNA from 1 species
UACAGAGGGUGCGAGCGUUGUUCGGAAUUACUGGGCGUAAAGCGUGCGCAGGCGGUUCGUUGUGUCGGUGGUGAAAGCCCCGGGCUUAACCUGGGAAUGGCCAUGGAAACUGGCGAACUGGAGUGUGGCAGAGGGGGGUGGAAUUCCGCGUGUAGCAGUGAAAUGCGUAGAGAUGCGGAGGAACACCGAUGGCGAAGGCAGCCCCCUGGGCUAGCACUGACGCUCAGGCACGAAAGCGUGGGGAGCAAACAGG